UACGUAGGGUGCGAGCGUUAAUCGGAAUUACUGGGCGUAAAGCGUGCGCAGGCGGUUUUGUAAGCCGGAUGUGAAAUCCCCGGGCUUAACCUGGGAAUGGCAUUCGGGACUGCAAGGCUGGAGUGCGGCAGAGGAGACUGGAAUUCCUGGUGUAGCAGUGAAAUGCGUAGAUAUCAGGAGGAACACCGGUGGCGAAGGCGGGUCUCUGGGCCGAUACUGACGCUGAGGAGCGAAAGCGUGGGGAGCGAACAGG
rnacentral:rRNA from 1 species